UACGAAGGGGGCUAGCGUUGUUCGGAAUUACUGGGCGUAAAGCGCGCGCAGGCGGUUCGAUAAGUUGGGGGGUGAAAUCCCCGGGCUCAACCCGGGAAUGGCCUUCAAGACUGUCGAUCUAGAGGACGAGAGAGGUGAGUGGAAUUCCCAGUGUAGAGGUGAAAUUCGUAGAUAUUGGGAAGAACACCGGUGGCGAAGGCGGCUCACUGGCUCGUUUCUGACGCUGAGGCGCGAAAGCGUGGGGGAGCAAACAGG
rnacentral:rRNA from 1 species